rfam:Flavobacterium plurextorum strain CCTG 60112 WGS0045_contig_24, whole genome shotgun sequence.
CCCUAGCCCUGAUAGAAGUGGAAAUCCUUUUGCGACGGUCCCGAGGCUUCGGGAGGUGGAAAAGAUUGAAACGGAUAGCAGGAAGCAGC